rnacentral:rRNA from 1 species
UACAGAGGUCUCAAGCGUUGUUCGGAUUCAUUGGGCGUAAAGGGCGCGUAGGCUGCGGGGCAAGUCGGGGUGUGAAAUCUCAGAGCUCAACUCUGAAACUGCACUCGAUACUGCUUUGCUCGAGGACUGGAGAGGAGAUUGGAAUUCACGGUGUAGCAGUGAAAUGCGUAGAUAUCGUGAGGAAGACCAGUGGCGAAGGCGGAUCUCUGGACAGUUCCUGACGCUGAGGCGCGAAGGCCAGGGGAGCAAAACGGG